GAUCGAGGCACGAUCGACACCUCGUGCAGGGUGUCCAGUGGAUCGAGAACGAGGCAAAUAUACAGAGAGAGACGUUGUACGCGAGAAUUUUCAUCCGAGGGAAUCGGGAUAGGAAGUACGCGCCUUUUAAGGUGGCAUUCUGGAUUUGAACGAUAUUUUUCCAUGGUUUCAAGGGUUGAAAAGCAAGCUUCCUUCGUUCCGACUCGAAGACUGAAUGACGCCUUUUAAUUUCAUGUAGGAAAAUUAAUAUUGCGUCGGUUUUCUAUUUUGAAUAGAGGAAAUGAGAAUCAGUAGUUAAAAGUGAGAUGAAUAUGUAAUUUUAUUAUUAUUGUUUCUAAUGAAAAACAUGAGAAUCAGUGGUUGCAAGUGAAAUAAACGCAUAAUUUUAUUAUUAUUGUUUCUGAAGAAGAAAGGAAAUAAGAAUCAAUAGUUAAAUGUAAAAUGAAUAUAUAAUUUUAUUAUUACUACUGUUUUUAAUGAAGAAAGAAAAUGAGGAUCAAUAGUCAAAAGUGAAAUGAGUAUAUCAUUUUAUUAUUAUUAUUGUUUCUAAUGAAGAACAUUUAGAGAAUCAAUAGUUAAAAGUGAAAUGAAUACGUAACAUUUGAUUCUGCGAACAGAUAACAGUAGGACUGAUAAAUAACACAUUAAAAAAAACGUCAAUGACACUCCCGCUGUACAAAAUAAAUAGAAAAAUCGAUUUUCCGAAAGUUCAAAACCAGAAUGCCCCCUUAACUCGGCUAACACGACCAUUGCCGAUCAUUUCCACUCACGUUUUCGCUUCCUUAUUUAUUUAUUUAUUUAAACGGCUUCCCGUUGCGCGCGCGCGCGAACUCGUUCACCGGAAACGAGGGAAAAGCGCGGGAAAAGAAUUCGUUGGCGUGCGCUUGGGGCGAUGUCCAGAGAAUUACCUAUAAAUCUAAAUCUAUUAUCUUAGCUUUUAUUCGAGAGUUUCUUAUCUUUUAACGACGAUUAAAAAUAUGGUGAGGGCGAUGGAAAAUUAAAUAAUACGGUGUGGUGUCGACGAGACAGGAGUAACGAUGAUAUAGGUUAGGUGGCCGUUGCCUAGAACGCUUGGGAAGCUCGGCACGCUUUCGAGUAUCAGCUUCUCGAGGAAUUAAUGAAAAAUUCACUCACCGCGGUCAUUCCAUUUACUGGACACUUUGUAUGAGUCGCGCGUUGGUCGUUUAGGUAAACUAAUCGUACGAUGUAGAGAGAUACGGUUGUUCACAGACACGCGUUCUAGUUCCCGAGGAACGUUCACGCGAACAUCGUAAGCUGAGGAAAUAUUUGUAGAUGCUCCGCGCAAGCGUUUUCGUCAAUUGAACCCUUCACGAACAGUACCAUUUCGGUUUGCCCAGUUUCCAAGCGUCCCGUAGAAUAUAGUGAUCUAGAGAAUUAUCUCCGAAAAAAAAGAAAAACAAAAUGUCACCGAAGGCAAGGAUCAAUAAAAAGCGUUCAGGGAAACCACAGCGGACAAUACUCUUGUGAUCAACUGUAUUUCGCGAACGAGCAUUUUUUCAAGGAGGCAAAGAAAUUUGGAGCACAAAUCCCGACACGACUAGAGACCAUUCAAACCGAGGUGUACGCGUUUUGCAAACGGAACAACAAUUUGCAUUUUGCAGACACAUGCCUAACACUUGUAUUUAUAAGGGAGCCUUAUUUAAUGAGCAUUGUUUACCAGGCGUUUGUAGAAUAAUAAAAAGAAGAUUCGUUCUUUAGCUCUUCCAUGGGAAUUUGUUUAUUUAUAGAGGAGCGAAUUGUAUCUGUCGAUUCGCGGGUUACGCUUUGUUCAUGUCGCGGGAGGUCGAGACGCGUACAAUGUUCGAACGGAGCAAGAUUUUUCUACGACGCAGCAGCUACAGACACGCAGAAAUUAAGAAUAUAACGCACAAACGAUUAUUUCAUUGGAGAGGAUGUGCAUCUGAUAUGUGUUUUUUUUCUGGUUCGAUAGGGAAUGGAAAAAUUUUUAUAUCCGGUUUCGAAUCGAUACAACGGAUGGUAUGUAAAUCUUGUACAAAAUCAAACGCGUCUGUUCGCUCGAGUCUGUGUUUUCUUCUGUUUCAAUUGUUUCCGAGGACGUUUAGGACAUACGACGCUGUUUAUACAUUUUAUUAUUGCCGCGGCGUGUAAGGAAGAUUACAAUUGUUAUAAGAGGAGGCAUUGCUGCGCAAUGUCAGAUGCAUAAAGAUAUAUUAUGUUUAUUCCUCGCGGUUUUUGUUUAUCAAACCCUUCCAAUUAUAUGGUAUACUUACAUGUGUAGUACUUCCAUUACAAUACGUGUGUUCACUGAAAUCGGACUAAAAAUUUUUACAUUGCGAACACUUCUCUUCCUUUCCCUUUUUUUUAGUUUGGUUGGGAAGCAUUUACUGUGAAACUGAAACGCUCAAUGGACAAGGCACAAUUCUUUGGGAAAAAAACGAAUACUAAAUUUCUACACUGUGUAUAAGCUUUUCUACAACAACUCCAUGGUACAACAAUAUCUUACAAAUUUUCGAUUUCAUAUACAAGUUAACACGCAUCGUAAAUGAUUCAAUGUUAAGUAAACUACAAUUCUUAUACCAUAUUUUAAUCUCCUUGACUAGAUUUGCUAUUGAAACUUUGUACUUUUUUAUUGAAAAUAUUACAAUUAAAACCUACACGUUCAAUGGAAUAUUACUGACAAAAAAUCGUAGGAGUUUAGUAUUUUUUAAAUGGCUCUGGUUAAAUCCCAUUUUCGUGCGAUUUUUUGUCACAAUAUCUUUUUAUAUACAAGAUUUUAAUAAGAGUGUAUAUUUAGUGACUUAUAUUGAAGGCAGUACUUUUUGCAGACAUUUUUUGUGAUAAAUACUAGUUAUUUAUACUCCUUUGUAUGUAUUGUAACAUUAAUUUUAAUGGAGUAUACAAAUAUGUAAUAAACAAAUACAAUGACAUUACAAAUAGUUUAUUCUCGACUUCUGAGAAUUAUAACAGCUAACCACAUUGAAUAUAUUUUUCCUAUGUAAGGCUGUAUGUGACACACAAGAGCAAAUUCAACUGGACCGGUAAUAUUAUGGAUUUUUGUUGCAUUUAACUGUUCAGUUAAGUCGUUCUUAUCAGUGUCACGUUUGUUUAAUAUGAAACCGUGAAUGUGAUAAGCUCUGUGUAAUUGCUUCAAAUCCCUUUUAUCUAACUGUGGCUCUGAAGAAGGUUCCACUUUGGAAAUAAAAUUCCUUAAGACAGUCAUUGCAUGUCUAUUAAAUAUUGUUAUCAAACCAAGUAUGCUGCGCCAUUCAGCCAAUUUAUCUUUCAAAUGUUGUUCUAUUUCAGCAGCUGUUUUUUUCAGUUGCUUUUCUUCCUCAUCUGUAAUACUUAGUUUAAGUGCUUGUACAGUAUGAUCACUUUUCAAUGAAGUUGUUUCAAUUGGCCGCCAAUCUUUACUUGAUUUCACAUCGUAUUUGAGAUUAUGUGAUCAUAAUACUAACACCAAAGUGAUUUAUCAGACGGGACACCUUCAUUAAGGGGCAAUGGCUAUCAUCCAUUUUAUGAUAAUUUCCUGUUUCCGGAUCCCAUAAUGUAUGUAUUCCAUUUUCGCUAAUACAUAGGACGAAUGCAGCCCAUUUACUUAUUUGCGAAGAACCUAAUGUAUUAAUUAUAUUACUGAAUUGAACAAUUAAAUAAUAUAUACAGUGGUGUCUCGACUCACGAACAUAAUUCGUUCUAGUUCGAAGUUCGUGUGUCGAGCGGUUCGUAAGUCGAGGUUCCACUGUAAUAGGAAUACAUACCUAAUAAAAUAUAUGUCUGUAAACCUAAGCCUUGUAACAAUGUAGCAAGCAGAGCUGCCCUUCCAAAAUGAUCCACUUUCUUUAUAUUUAAGGCCUGACGCGGUGUUACUGGUCCAUAAUGUAUUGGCAAUGCCGGCAAGAGCAUGACUAGUCUUGCAACAUCCCUUGGAUUUUCUAAGUUAUUAACUUUAUAUGGUGUAACAAGACACCUUGGAAUUCCUUUAAUUAUUGUGUUCAUAGUGGUACUCUCAAUGGACUUUGCAGUACCUGGAUAUUCCAUUUUAAUUAAAACAUAAAUACGAGUACAUGAUUGACCAGGACUAGCUUGCACAUAUCCAAAUAAUAGUAACGGACUGAAUAAAGGUGAUAAUGUAAUCCAGCGUUCAAGUUCUUGAUAAUUUCUAUGAUGUUCAAAUGGAAUUCUAGUUUCACCUAGCCACUGCUGACCCCAGACAGGAUGUUGGUCAUAUAAACGAAAUUUUAUGCAAUAUUCAUCAUUUUGUUUUGUGUUGCCCCAUUCAACUUCUACAAAUGGUUGAACUAAUGCAGACUCUUCCCUAAUUGGUAUUUCUAUUCCACGUAAAACAUUAACAGUCAGAACUGUUUUUCCCAUUGUAUGAUGUCUUCGAGUAAUUGUUGAUGGUUCCAAUUGUCUUUUAGCUUGAAAUAGAUCCAUGAAAGAUAUAUCGAAUAAAGAAAAUGCUGGUUGUUCCAUUACAACUAUAUCAGGUGAUUUUGCUUCAUCUACUUGAACUUCUUUUGGCACACUAACUUCUGAAUCAACAUCAAAGGUCAAUGCUGGACGUUCCAACAAAAAAUACUUGACUUGCUUCUUAGACACAAUUUUUGAUGGUCUGAGUAAAGAUAAACUGUUUUGUGGAUCAUUUGGAUCAUUACUUAAUUUAUAAGCAGUAUUAAUGUUGACUUCACGGACUACAAUCUCUACUAGUUUACCAGAGAAUUUCUGUUUUGUCUGGCAUUCUAAAGUUUGCAUACGAUCAAGCUCUAAAUCAAUGUCACUAUAAACAAAAGGACUGUCUGACACAUACAACCCAUCUUCCCCUAUUACAGAUAUUUUAUUCAAUUUUCGAGGGCUUCCAGUAUUUUUAACAAGUACAUUGUUCUCUUCUAAUUUAUUUAUCACAGGAUAGGCAUAGCAAAGAGUUAGAUCUUGCUCUGUCUUAUUUUCCUCAUGUUGCACAUAUCCUCUGAUAAAGUCAAUGUCCUGACUGCUCAUGUUAAUGUAAUAAUGUUAAUUAUCACAAAAAUCAAACCACAAUACAGAAUACUGUUAUAAUUUCCUUUAUUCAUACAUGUUCAAUGUUUACAUUCAUG